rnacentral:rRNA from 1 species
CGGGACGGGUGAGUAACGCGUGGAUAACCUGCCUCACACUGGGGGAUAACAGUUAGAAAUGACUGCUAAUACCGCAUAAGCGCACAGUACCGCAUGGUACGGUGUGAAAAACUCCGGUGGUGUGAGAUGGAUCCGCGUCUGAUUAGCCAGUUGGCGGGGUAACGGCCCACCAAAGCGACGAUCAGUAGCCGACCUGAGAGGGUGACCGGCCACAUUGGGACUGAGACACGGCCCAA